rnacentral:rRNA from 1 species
CCAGACUCCUACGGGAGGCAGCAGUGGGGAAUAUUGCACAAUGGGGGAAACCCUGAUGCAGCAACGCCGCGUGAGUGAAGAAGUAUUUCGAUAUGUAAAGCUCUAUCAGCAGGGAAGAAGAUGACGGUACCUGAUUAAGAAGCCCCGGCUAACUACGUGCCAGCAGCCGCGGUAAUACGUAGGGGGCAAGCGUUAUCCGGAUUUACUGGGUGUAAAGGGAGCGUAGACGGCAGCACAAGUCUGGAGUGAAAUCCCGGGGCUUAACCCCGGAACUGCUUUGGAAACUGUGCGGCUGGAGUGCAGGAGGGGUAAGCGGAAUUCCUAGUGUAGCGGUGAAAUGCGUAGAUAUUAGGAGGAACACCGGUGGCGAAGGCGGCUUACUGGACUGUAACUGACGUUGAGGCUCGAAGGCGUGGGGAGCAAACAGGAUUAGAUACCCUUGUAAG